AAGACCUGAUAUUAAGUAAGAUUACCCACUGAACUUAAGCAUAUUAUUAAGUGGAGGAAAAGAAACUAACUAGGAUUUCCUUAGUAACUGCGAGUGAACAGGAAAAAGCUCAACAUGAAAAUCAAUAAUAAUUUUAUUUUAUUAUUGACUUGUAGUAUCUAGAAGUAAUGCCAGUGAAUUAAUAAAAUUAAGUGUUUUGGAAUAAACCACCAUAGAGGGGUGAAAGUCCCGUCUAUAUUUUAUUUUAAUUCACAUACGGUUUACUAUCAAAGAGUCAUAUUCCUUGGGAAUGGAGUAUANAAUGGGGUGGGGUAUUUCAUCCAAAGCUAAAUAUUGAUGAGAAAACGAUAGCAAACAAGUACCCGUGAGGGAAAAGAUGANAGAACUUUUGAAAGAGAAUAAAAAGUACCUGNAAUUACUU
rnacentral:rRNA from 1 species